rnacentral:rRNA from 1 species
AUAUCAAUAAGCGGAGGAAAAGAAAAUAACAAUGAUUCCCCCAGUAACGGCGAGUGAACAGGGAAAAGCUCAAAGUUGGAACCUCCUGGCCCUAGGCCUGGCGGAUUGUAAACUAAAGCUCUCGAGUAGUUUGGCUAGCCCAGUAAUCAAGUUCUCUGGAAAGGGACGACAAAGAGGGUGAAAUCCCCGUUUUUGGCUGGAGCAUAGUCUUGCGUUUGCUUGGAAGCGAAGAGUCAGGUUGUUUGGUAUUGCAGCCUAAAGCUGGAGGUAAAUCUCUCCUAAAGCUAAAUAUUGACGAAAGACCGAUAGCGAACAAGUACCGUGAGGGAAAGAUGAAAAGCACCUUGAAAAGGGGGUCAAAAAGUAC